GAUGAACGCUGGCGGCGUGCCUAAUACAUGCAAGUCGAGCGAACGGACGAGAAGCUUGCUUCUCUGAUGUUAGCGGCGGACGGGUGAGUAACACGUGGCUAACCUACCUAUAAGACUGGGAUAACUUCGGGAAACCGGAGCUAAUACCGGAUAAUAUUUUGAACCGCAUGGUUCAAAAGUGAAAGACGGUCUUGCUGUCACUUAUAGAUGGAUCCGCGCUGCAUUAGCUAGUUGGUAAGGUAACGGCUUACCAAGGCAACGAUGCAUAGCCGACCUGAGAGGGUGAUCGGCCACACUGGAACUGAGACACGGUCCAGACUCCUACGGGAGGCAGCAGUAGGGAAUCUUCCGCAAUGGGCGAAAGCCUGACGGAGCAACGCCGCGUGAGUGAUGAAGGUCUUCGGAUCGUAAAACUCUGUUAGUAGGGAUGAACAGAUGUGUAAGUAACUGUGCACAUCUUGACGGUACCUAAUCAGAAAGCCACGGCUAACUACGUG
rnacentral:rRNA from 1 species